rfam:Triticum aestivum genome assembly, contig: Triticum_aestivum_CS42_TGACv1_scaffold_500257_6BL
UAUGUACUCCCUCCGUCCGAAAAUACUUGUCAUCAAAAGGGAUAAAAAGAGAUGUAUCUAGAACUAAAAUACGUCUGGAUGCAUGUCCUUUUAUCCAUUUUGAUGACAAGUAUUUCCGGACGGAGGGAGUAUGAG